UCUUCAAUUUCUUUUUCAGUAGAUACUUAACUUGACUUGUGACCAAGUAUGUGGCUUAUUUGGAAGACAGCUCCAUGAGGAAGUGCUGAGGAUAAGGAAAGAAUUAAAGCUAAAGCUUCAAAUCACUCCUCACAUACACCUGAAGGCUAAGGUCAAUAAGAAUCUACUCUGCUUUAACACU